GCAGGGGAGGCCGGGACCAUCGCAGUGACAAUUUAUUUUCCUGCAGCAGCGGCAGCAGGGACGGUUGCUGCAGGUUCGGGGUCGGCCGGCCUGCGCGUGGGCUUGCGAGGACGCUGUUCGUCCCCUGCGCUGGGGUGUCCGACAGCGAGGAGGAGAACGACGCACGGAGCCCGCGCGACUGGAACCAGCAAAGCUCCAUCUGUCGGCAGAGGAGAAGGGGGAGGAGGCACGGCCGAGGCAAACGAGCGGACGCCUCGUCGCCGGGUGCCGGUAUCACCCCGCUGCAACGCCUUCCAGCAAAAGCCACCGCGGCCCGGGUUGCAGCAGCCGGACGGAUGCCAAGGCCACACGGCAGCCACGGGGGCAGCCGUCGCAGUCGCCGUCCCACACGGGCUGCGGACACCAAGGGUUGCUAGACCCUUCCCAGCUGUAAGAAUUUACAGCUACAAUCCAAGAAAUGAGAUUGCAUUUUACAAGAAAAGAAAACUGAUGAUUCUUGCCCAAAACAUGAGAAGUAGAAGGAAUGUGAGAGAAAAUAAUGUAGAUUCCGUCCAGGAAGUGCUAGGUGCUUUCCUGGCCCAAGGAUGUGACCUUCUCUUGGAUUUUCCUGAUUAUUAUG
rnacentral:lncRNA from 10 species